rnacentral:lncRNA from 1 species
CUUUUUUACAGUUUGGAGAAGAUUUUUAAAGCAAUUUGUAUCUUUAAAGAAAAGAUCAUCAAUUUCUGAUGCUGUUCACAACCACAAAGCCUGAGAAGGUGAAGGGAAUGCCGUUAAAUACCACUGAAGCUUAGAAAAAACGUUUCCAGACCUCAUUCAUUUCCUCUGUCAGUAAGGAAAUACUGUGUUCAGACAAUAAGAAAAGAAACCAGUAAUAGAAAUUGCUGCAAAUUCUGUUUGUGUUGAUCCUUCAAGUUCAAACCUUUCAUUUCAUGGGCUGUAGCUGUUAAGAAGAGAGCUGGGGGAGCCCGAUUAUUCAUUUCUAUAAUUAAAGAGAUACCCAGUCAUUGAAAUAUAUGCCCUUCUCUGUGACUGACAGCCGCUAUGAUUGGAUGUUAGCAAUGGGCCCCGUGGAAGAUGAAUUCAGGUUACAAAAGGCGAUUGACAGGAAGAGAAG